GUAGGUGAACCUGCGGAGGGAUCAUUAGCGAACGGCCCUCUGGGCCUUCAAGCCCCACAAGACCUGUGGAAGCAAAGACUGUGCUUUGGCGCCUGACAAUGGCGCCGCCCCAAUGCGGCCUAUCCGUCUGUGUCUGAAUCGAACCUAGAAUUAAAACUUUCAACAAAGGAUCUCUUGGCUCUUGCAUCGAUGAAGAACGCAGCAUCUGACUGACUCGACAGCUG
rnacentral:misc_RNA from 1 species